GUGCUCACUUCGGCAACACAUAUACUAAAAUUGGAAUGAUACAGAGAUUAGCAUGGCCCCUGUGCAAGGAUAACACAAAUUUAGCCUAGAGAUGAGUCAAGAAUUG